UGGGGAAUAUUGGACAAUGGGCGCAAGCCUGAUCCAGCCAUGCCGCGUGAGUGAUGAAGGCCCUAGGGUUGUAAAGCUCUUUCACCGGUGAAGAUAAUGACGGUAACCGGAGAAGAAGCCCCGGCUAACUUCGUGCCAGCAGCCGCGGUAACACGAAGGGGGCUAGCGUUGUUCGGAUUUACUGGGCGUAAAGCGCACGUAGGCGGACUUUUAAGUCAGGGGUGAAAUCCCGGGGCUCAACCCCGGAACUGCCUUUGAUACUGGAAGUCUUGAGUAUGGUAGAGGUGAGUGGAAUUCCGAGUGUAGAGGUGAAAUUCGUAGAUAUUCGGAGGAACACCAGUGGCGAAGGCGGCUCACUGGACCAUUACUGACGCUGAGGUGCGAAAGCGUGGGGAGCAAACAGG
rnacentral:rRNA from 2 species